rnacentral:rRNA from 1 species
AUACGGAGGGAGCUAGCGUUGUUCGGAAUUACUGGGCGUAAAGCGCACGUAGGCGGCUAUUCAAGUCAGAGGUGAAAGCCCGGGGCUCAACCCCGGAACUGCCUUUGAAACUAGAUAGCUUGAAUCCAGGAGAGGUGAGUGGAAUUCCGAGUGUAGAGGUGAAAUUCGUAGAUAUUCGGAAGAACACCAGUGGCGAAGGCGGCUCACUGGACUGGUAUUGACGCUGAGGUGCGAAAGCGUGGGGAGCAAAAAGGAUUAGAUGCCCUGGUAGUCCACGCCGUAAACGAUGAUAACUAGCUGUCAGGGCACAUGGUGUUUUGGUGGCGCAGCUAACGCAUUAAGUUAUCCGCCUGGGGAGUACGGUCGCAAGAUUAAA